rnacentral:rRNA from 1 species
UGCUGCAGUUAAAAAGCUCGUAGUUGGAUUUCGGUUGAGAACGGCCGGUCCGCCGUUUGGUGUGCACUGGCUGGUUUCAACUUCCUGUAGAGGACGCGCUCUGGCUUCAUCGCUGGACGCGGAGUCUACGUGGUUACUUUGAAAAAAUUAGAGUGUUCAAAGCGGGCUUACGCUUGAAUAUUUCAGCAUGGAAUAACACUAUAGGACUCCUGUCCUAUUUCGUUGGUCUCGGGACGGGAGUAAUGAUUAAGAGGAACAGUUGGGGGCAUUCGUAUUUCAUUGUCAGAGGUGAAAUUCUUGGAUUUAUGAAAGACGAACUUCUGCGAAAGCAUUUGCCAAGGAUGUUUUCAUUAAUCAAGAACGAAAGUUGGGGGCUCGAAGAUGAUUAGAUACCAUCCUAGUCUCAACCAUAAACGAUGCCGACUAGGGAUUGCAGGAUGUUAAUUGAUGACUCCUGCAGCACCUUAUGAGAAAUCAAAGUUUUUGGGUUCCGGGGGGAGUAUGGUCGCAAGGCUGAAACUUAAAGGAAUUGACGGAAGGGC